GUUGUGGCUCAGUGGUAGAGUGCUUGCCUAGCAUGUGUGAGGCACUGGGUUCGAUCCCCAGCACAACA
rnacentral:tRNA from 1 species